UACGGGGGGGUAAGCGUUGUUCGGAAUUACUGGGCGUAAAGGGCUCGUAGGCGGCCAACUAAGUCAGACGUGAAAUCCCUCAGCUUAACUGGGGAACUGCGUCUGAUACUGGAUGGCUUGGAUUUGGGAGAGGGAUGCGGAAUUCCAGGUGUAGCGGUGAAAUGCGUAGAUAUCUGGAGGAACACCGGUGGCGAAGGCGGCAUCCUGGACCAAUAUUGACGCUGAGGAGCGAAAGCCAGGGGAGCAAACGGG
rnacentral:rRNA from 1 species